rnacentral:tRNA from 1 species
GCGCGAUUAGCUCAGCGGGAGAGCGCUUCCUGACACGGAAAGGUCACUGGUUCAAUCCCAGUAUCGCGCACCA